rnacentral:lncRNA from 1 species
CACACAUCCAGAGAGCCCAGGUGGAGGCGGAAGUCAAAGCGGAUCAUUUAGCAGAUGGAGAGAAUCCAGCGGUGGGAUUCCAGAUCCGACAGGACUGGAGCAGCCAAGAUCAGCCAGAAGUGAUGGAUUCUAAGGUUCUAAAGUGUGGAGUUGCAAGAUGGAAGCCACUGCCAUCCCUGUAUCUAUGGGAGGAAGAGAGCCACCCAGAGCCUUGCAGUCGGGAACAGCAGUACUCAACCAUUGCAUGAGCAAGAAACAAACUCCUAUUGGAUGAAAUCACUGCCACUUUGGGGAUGUUUGUUACAGUAGUUAGCAACUGUGGGAAUGCAAUCUCGUGUGGAAGCACAGCAGCUGAAACAGAGCAAGGGGGCGUUGCCUGGGACAGAAGUGGGGCUGCACCUAUCACACCUACCAGCCUCCCCCAUCGUCCCUUCUUGCCCGGAUUUUACCACCGCCACAUCUUCUGGGGACCUUAGGCUUCCUCGGAACCCAGUUUGAGAACCACUGCCUUUGUUCUCUGCCCUUCCUCUUGGACCUGGGAAAACUAAGAUCUGGAGUAGCACAAUGACCAUCCAAUACUGAAAGACCAGUAUGUGGUAGAGGUAGAACCAGAAAUCAGGCUUCCUAUUGUUUUGCUUGAGGAUUUGGUGCUGGCCACAGAGUCUUUAUGGCCCUAUACCAUGAUGUAGAUAGAUAUGGAUGGUUAGGCACAGGCACCACCCAGAGAGACGAUCUAUAUCCAUACCAAAAUGAUCUAUGUCACACACGGAGAUGCAGACAAUAUAUAAGUUUCUGAG